rnacentral:rRNA from 1 species
CCUACGGGAGGCAGCAGUGGGGAAUAUUGCACAAUGGGCGCAAGCCUGAUGCAGCAACGCCGCGUGAGGGACGACGGCCUUCGGGUUGUAAACCUCUUUUAGUAGGGAAGAAGCGAAAGUGACGGUACCUGCAGAAAAAGCACCGGCUAACUACGUGCCAGCAGCCGCGGUAAUACGUAGGGUGCAAGCGUUAUCCGGAAUUAUUGGGCGUAAAGAGCUCGUAGGCGGUUUGUCGCGUCUGCUGUGAAAACUGGAGGCUCAACCUCCAGCCUGCAGUGGGUACGGGCAGACUAGAGUGCGGUAGGGGAGAUUGGAAUUCCUGGUGUAGCGGUGGAAUGCGCAGAUAUCAGGAGGAACACCGAUGGCGAAGGCAGAUCUCUGGGCCGUAACUGACGCUGAGGAGCGAAAGCAUGGGGAGCGAACAGGAUUAGAUACCCUGGUAGUCCAUGCCGUAAACGUUGGGAACUAGAUGUAGGGACCAUUCCACGGUUUCUGUUGUCGCNGCUACGCAUACGUUCCCGUCCGUCGGGAGGUACGGCCGCGACGACGUAAACCUACAAGUAGUAAGUUAGACGGCGUGAGACGUCGCCGACGGACGACGACGAGGGAGGAGG